UAAGGUUUCUAUUUUUUUAAAUUAACUAGCUUUGAGGCUGUUAACCAUAACUUUUGGGGGGUUUUCUUGUUUGUUUGUUUUCAUACCAGGGAUUGAACUCAAGGCCUUGUGCAUGCAAGGCAAGUGCUUGGCUACAUACCCAGAAUCCAAAACCUAUUUACUGAGCUUACUGCAUGGGGCACAGUCAUUGGCCUAGUAAAUGAGGUAGCAUCAGGUUAGAAAAGAUGUGCUUUGUAGUGUUUUGGACCACUUGACAACAAACACAAGACUGUAUGAAGAAAGGCAAGAGAAUUGAGAAGGCUGACAGCACUGGGUUUUCUGUGCCAACAUAGAGAAGGCAUCCAGUGGAUUUAUUGCUGGAACGUUCUCCUGGAGACACCGAGGAGAAGUGUGUUUCCAUGGUGACCCUGAAUCCCAUCAAAUUAAUAACGAGGAUUGAGCAUCACAAGUAUAGUCUCACGGAUCAUCUCAGAGAUGAUGUUCUUCACAUGAAAAUUUGCGCUCCGACCACUCUGUGCGCGAGUACCAAGAGUCUGUAGCUCUUAGUUGAGUGGAGCUGCCUCCCUUUCUACACCCAUGCUCUUGCUUUUGAUUUGUUUGUUUGGAUAAAAUGCAGCUACCAGGUCUUCCCUAGCUGGAAAUUUGUCCUAGUGUUGCCCAUCUGAGGCACUCCAACGCACUACAAGGAAGUCCAGAAGGAAAGACAACUCUGGAAUAGCGUUCCUCCGUGCGUUGUGCGGCAGGGCGCGCUGAAGGAGAGGAAGACAGAUCCCUCUGCUGAAACUCAGGUUUUCUUUUCAUAAGCUUUCUGGUAAAGUUCCCAAGAAACACACCCUAAAAGAAAUAGGAGCUUUCCUGGACCAGAGAGAUGUCAUACUCCACCCGAGUUAAGACCUAAAGGAAGUCGAUCUCCACAUUCAGCCAGCAUCCCGAGUGAGGACUUGCAAGUGGUCGUGGUGGUGAUAGCUGACACUCUCAGCACUUGGGAGGCGGAGGCAGGAGGAUCCGGAUCUGAAGAGAGAGCCAUGGAUCACAUCUCAAAACAUCAGCCACAAGAAACAAAAAACCCGAACUAUAACACGCAUUUGCUAGAUAACCCGGACCAACUCCCUCACGCACUAAGACAUCACACUCAGUCAGG